rnacentral:rRNA from 1 species
CGGGGUGCGUAACACGUGAGCAACCUGCCUCUUACAACGGGAUAACACAGAGAAAUUUGUGCUAAUACGGUAUGAGACUACGAGAUGGCAUCAUCUAGUGGUUAAAGUUCAGGCGGUAAGAGAGGGGCUCGCGGCCCAUUAGAUAGUUGGUGAGGUAACGGCUCACCAAGUCGACGAUGGGUAGCCGACCUGAGAGGGUGAUCGGCCACACUGGAACUGAGACACGGACCAGACUCCUACGGAAGGCAGCAG